rnacentral:rRNA from 1 species
GAACGCGAAGAACCUUACCAGGUCUUGACAUCCCUCUGACCGCCCUAGAGAUAGAGUUGUUCCUGUCGGGACAGAGGUGACAGGUGGUGCAUGGUUGUCGUCAGCUCGUGUCGUGAGAUGUUGGGUUAAGUCCCGCAACGAGCGCAACCCCUAUUGUUAGUUGCCAUCAUUCAGUUGGGCACUCUAGCGAGACUGCCGGUAAUAAACCGGAGGAAGGUGGGGAUGACGUCAAAUCAUCAUGCCCCUUAUGACCUGGGCUACACACGUGCUACAAUGGUUGGUACAACGAGUCGCAAGCCGGUGACGGCAAGCUAAUCUCUUAAAGCCAAUCUCAGUUCGGAUUGUAGGCUGCAACUCGCCUACAUGAAGUCGGAAUCGCUAGUAAUCGCGGAUCAGCACGCCGCGGUGAAUACGUUCCCGGGUCUUGUACACACC